rnacentral:rRNA from 1 species
GACGAACGCUGGCGGCGUGCUUAACACAUGCAAGUCGAACGGUGAAGCGCCUUCCUUUUUGGUGGGUGUGGAUGAGUGGCGAACGGGUGAGUAACACGUGAGUAACCUGCCCCCUUCUUCUGGAUAACCGCAUGAAAGUGUGGCUAAUACGGGAUAUUCUGGGUCUGUCGCAUGAUGGGUCUGGGAAAGAUACUGUUUCGGUGGGGGAGGGGCUCGCGGCCUAUCAGCUUGUUGGUGGGGUGAUGGCCUACCAAGGCGGUGACGGGUAGCCGGCCUGGGAGGGUGGACGGUCACACUGGGAGUGAGGCACGGCCCAGACUCCUACGGGAGGCAGCAGUGGGGAAGAGUGCACAAUGGGCGAAAGCGUGAUGCAGCGACGCCGCGUGAGGGAUGGAGGCCUUCGGGGUGUGAACCUCUUUCGCCAGUGAAGCAGGCCUGCCUCGUUUGUGGGUGGGUUGACGGUAGCUGGAUAAGAAGCGCCGGCUAACUACGUG